GUGAUACCAAACCAUCCCUUAUUUUCAGUAAAAUUUUGCCUAUUGAGCGAAAAACCGAUUGGGGUAACCAUCAGAGAUCUUGUUGACACCUCCCGAGUCCCAACACAGUAGUCUUUGCCACUGAGCCGAAUGGCCAGGACCUGAUACCUUAGCUCUGCGCAUCUGCCUUCGCAGUUCUAGGGCUCAAAUCCAUCUCCACGGGAUGUCAUUAAAAGAAGGGCUCAUGAACGUCAGUGUUAUGCCAUUGUUCUUAGUUUCCUACUGUUUACAGAAACGGCCUCUCUGCCCUGAAACUAUGCUCACAAUAUACAUCAUUCCCCACUUUCUAGAAUUUAUGGCAUGAUGCACUUUGCUUUCAUCUUUGCUAUUUUUAUAUCUUUUGUGUAAAUACAUCUUUAAGGGAAGUUGUUUAAAAAUUUCAUAUGUAAAUUAGAUAGUUACCUACGCAAAUGAAAUGCAUGCCUGAAGAUGGAUUGUUUAUA